AGAUUGAACGCUGGCGGCAGGCCUAACACAUGCAAGUCGAGCGGUAGAGAGGUGCUUGCAUCUCUUGAGAGCGGCGGACGGGUGAGUAAUGCCUAGGAAUCUGCCUAGGUGGUGGGGGAUAACGUUCGGAAACGGACGCUAAUACCGCAUACGUCCUACGGGAGAAAGCGGGGGACCUUCGGGCCUCGCGCCAUUAGAUGAGCCUAGGUCGGAUUAGCUAGUUGGUGAGGUAAUGGCUCACCAAGGCGACGAUCCGUAACUGGUCUGAGAGGAUGAUCAGUCACACUGGAACUGAGACACGGUCCAGACUCCGUACGGGAGCAGCAGGUAGGGAAUAGUUAGGAACAAGUGGGGACGAAAGCCUGACUCCGAGCCAUCGGCCG
rnacentral:rRNA from 1 species